rnacentral:rRNA from 1 species
AUUGAACGCUGGCGGCAGGCCUAACACAUGCAAGUCGAACGAGUGGCGGACGGGUGAGUAAUGUAUGGGAAACUGACUGAUGGAGGGGGAUAACUACUGGAACCGGUAGCUACUACAGCUUACCAUCGGCUGUGCCCAGAUGGGAUUAGCUAGUAGGGGGGGUAAAGGCUCACCUAGGCGACGAUCCCUAGCUGGUCUGAGAGGAUGACCAGCCACAAUGGAACGGAGACACGGUCCAGACUCCUAAGAGAGGCAGCAGUUGUGAAUAUUGCACAAUGGGUGCAAGCCUGAUGCAGCCAAGCCGCGUGUAUGAAGAAGGCCUUCGGGUUGUAAAGUACUUUCAGCGGGGAGGCGUUACCCGCAGAAGAAGCACCGGCUAACUCCGUGCCAGCAGCCGCGGUAAUUG